rnacentral:rRNA from 1 species
UACGGGGGGGCAAGCGUUGUUCGGAAUUACUGGGCGUAAAGGGCUCGUAGGCGGCCAACUAAGUCGGAUGUGAAAUCCCCAAGCUUAACUUGGGAACUGCAUCCGAUACUGGAUGGCUUGAAUCCGGGAGAGGGAUGCAGAAUUCCAGGUGUAGCGGUGAAAUGCGUAGAUAUCUGGAGGAAUACCGGUGGCGAAGGCGGCAUCCUGGACCGGCAUUGACGCUGAGGAGCGAAAGCUAGGGGAGCAAACGGG